rnacentral:rRNA from 1 species
AUUGAACGCUGGCGGCAUGCCUUACACAUGCAAGUCGAACGGUAACGGGCCUUCGGGUGCCGACGAGUGGCGAACGGGUGAGUAAUGUAUCGGAACGUACCUUUCAGUGGGGGAUAACGUAGCGAAAGUUACGCUAAUACCGCAUAUUCUGUGUGCAGGAAAGCAGGGGAUCGCAAGACCUUGCGCUGAUUGAGCGGCCGAUAUCAGAUUAGCCAGUUGGUGAGGUAAAGGCUCACCAAGGCGACGAUCUGUAGCGGGUCUGAGAGGAUGAUCCGCCACACUGGAACUGAGACACGGUCCAGACUCCUACGGGAGGCAGCAGUGGGGAAUUUUGGACAAUGGGGGCAACCCUGAUCCAGCCAUGCCGCGUGAGUGAAGAAGGCCUUCGGGUUGUAAAGCUCUUUCGGCCGGGAAGAAAUCGUAUCAGCUAAUACCUGGUGCGGAUGACGGUACCGGCAUAAGAAGCACCGGCUAACUACGUGCCAGCAGCCGCGGUAAGAC